GCAGUCGACGAUGAAUCUUCUAGCUUGCUAGAAGUGGAUUAGUGGCGCACGGGUGAGUAAUGCAUAGGUUAUGUGCCCUUUAGUCUGGGAUAGCCACUGGAAACGGUGAUUAAUACUGGAUACUCCCUACGGGGGAAAGUUUUUCGCUAAAGGAUCAGCCUAUGUCCUAUCAGCUUGUUGGUGAGGUAAUGGCUCACCAAGGCUAUGACGGGUAUCCGGCCUGAGAGGGUGAUCGGACACACUGGAACUGAGACACGGUCCAGACUCCUACGGGAGGCAGCAGUAGGGAAUAUUGCUCAAUGGGGGAAACCCUGAAGCAGCAACGCCGCGUGGAGGAUGAAGGUUUUAGGAUUGUAAACUCCUUUUGUUAGAGAAGAUUAUGACGGUAUCUAACGAAUAAGCACCGGCUAACUCCGUGCCAGCAGCCGCGGUAAUACGGAGGGUGCAAGCGUUACUCGGAAUCACUGGGCGUAAAGAGUGCGUAGGCGGGGUAAUAAGUCAGAUGUGAAAUCCUGUAGCUUAACUACAGAACUGCAUUUGAAACUGUUACUCUGGAGUGUGGGAGAGGUAGGUGGAAUUCUUGGUGUAGGGGUAAAAUCCGUAGAGAUCAAGAGGAAUACUCAUUGCGAAGGCGACCUGCUGGAACAUUACUGACGCUGAUGCACGAAAGCGUGGGGAGCAAACAGGAUUAGAUACCCUGGUAGUCCACGCCCUAAACGAUGGAUGCUAGUUGUUGCCUUGCUUGUCAGGGCAGUAAUGCAGCUAACGCAUUAAGCAUCCCGCCUGGGGAGUACGGUCGCAAGAUUAAAACUCAAAGGAAUAGACGGGGACCCGCACAAGCGGUGGAGCAUGUGGUUUAAUUCGAAGAUACGCGAAGAACCUUACCUAGGCUUGACAUUGAUA
rnacentral:rRNA from 1 species